rnacentral:tRNA from 1 species
UAGCUGAGCAGUAAAGCGAUUGGCUAAUGAACAGUGGUCCCGGGUUCAAAUCCUGG